rnacentral:rRNA from 1 species
AAUAGAUACCCCGGUAGUCCACGCCGUAAACGAUGAAUGCUAGGUGUUAGGGGUUUCGAUACCCUUGGUGCCGAAGUUAACACAUUAAGCAUUCCGCCUGGGGAGUACGGUCGCAAGACUGAAACUCAAAGGAAUUGACGGGGACCCGCACAAGCAGUGGAGUAUGUGGUUUAAUUCGAAGCAACGCGAAGAACCUUACCAGGUCUUGACAUCCCUCUGACCGCCGCAGAGAUGUGGCUUCCCUUCGGGGCAGAGGAGACAGGUGGUGCAUGGUUGCCGUCAGCUCGUGUCGUGAGAUGUUGGGUUAAGUCCCGCAACGAGCGCAACCCUUGAUCUUAGUUGCCAGCACUUCGGGUGGGCACUCUAAGGUGACUGCCGGUGACAAACCGGAGGAAGGUGGGGAUGACGUCAAAUCAUCAUGCCCCUUAUGACCUGGGCUACACACGUACUACAAUGGCCAGUACAACGGGAAGCGAAGCCGCGAGGUGGAGCCAAUCCUAUCAAAGCUGGUCUCAGUUCGGAUUGCAGGCUG